rnacentral:tRNA from 1 species
UGGGGUGUAGCUCAGAGAUAGAGUGCUUCCCUAGGGUAUGUGAGGCCCUGGGUUCCAUCCCCAGCACUGCAA